rnacentral:rRNA from 1 species
CAGUCGCCGCGGUAAAACGAAGGGUGCAAGCGUUAAUCGGAAUUACUGGGCGUAAAGCGUGCGUAGGCGGUUUGUUAAGUCUGUUGUGAAAUCCCCGGGCUCAACCUGGGAAUGGCAGUGGAUACUGGCUCGCUAGAGUGUGUCAGAGGAUGGUGGAAUUCCCGGUGUAGCGGUGAAAUGCGUAGAGAUCGGGAGGAACAUCAGUGGCGAAGGCGGCCAUCUGGGACAACACUGACGCUGAGGCACGAAAGCGUGGGGAGCAAACAGGAUUAGAUACCCCAGUAGUCCCUGUCUCUUAUAC